UACGUAGGGUCCGAGCGUUGUCCGGAAUUAUUGGGCGUAAAGGGCUCGUAGGCGGUCCGUCACGUCGGGAGUGAAAACUCAGGGCUCAACCCUGAGCGUGCUGCCGAUACGGGCGGACUAGAGGUAUGCAGGGGAGAACGGAAUUCCUGGUGUAGCGGUGGAAUGCGCAGAUAUCAGGAGGAACACCGGUGGCGAAGGCGGUUCUCUGGGCAUUACCUGACGCUGAGGAGCGAAAGCAUGGGGAGCGAACAGG
rnacentral:rRNA from 1 species